rnacentral:rRNA from 1 species
CGUAACAAGGUUUCCGUAGGUGAACCUGCGGAAGGAUCAUUAUCGAGUUUUUGAACGGGUUGUCGCUGGCCGUGUAUGCGGCAUUGUGCACGCCUGGCUCAUCCACUCUUAACCCCUGUGCACCAUAUGUAAGAAUGAAGGGACGCAAGUCUUUGAGUUCUUAUGUUUUAUUACAAACGCUUCAGUUUUCAGAAUGUUUAGUUGUGUAUAACACAAAUGUACAACUUUCAGCAACGGAUCUCUUGGCUCUCGCAUCGAUGAAGAACGCAGCGAAAUGCGAUAAGUAAUGUGAAUUGCAGAAUUCAGUGAAUCAUCGAAUCUUUGAACGCACCUUGCGCUCCUUGGUAUUCCGAGGAGCAUGCCUGUUUGAGUGUCGUGAAAUUCUCAAUCCCCUAGAUUUCUUGUCUAGUGGGGCUUGGACUUGGAGGCUUGUGUUGGCUUUCAUUAGCUGACUCCUCUUAAAUGCAUUAGCGUGAAUCUUUUACGGAUCGCCUUCAGUGUGAUAAUUAUCUGCGCUGUGGUGUUGAAGUAUCAUUUUGAUAGCUCAUGCAUCUGACGAUGUUGGAAAUAGACGU